UAAUUGGUGGAGUAUGUAGAACAUAUUAUUUUUCGUGUGUUUAUCACGCGUUCGGAGCAGUUUAAUAUUCGCCUCGUAUUUUGUGUAAAUAUUAAAUAUUGCUUGAUGCCAUGCAAUUCGCAGAAUAUGGAUUUUUCGAAGGAGUCGAUGGGAUCUCAAAAUAUGGACGUCGUUACUUUAUCUGGUGGCUGUUGCGUCUUUCCAAGCUUUACCCUCGAUUUAUCGCAUACGGGAGUUUUAAUUAUUAUAAAAACGUAAUAUAAUUUUAUUAAAUAUUCAUUUAUUUAUUUCCAGAAUCGGAGAAUACGGAUUUUUCUUUUAUCGAUGGGAUCUCAACAUGUGGACGUCAAUACUUGGUCUGGUGUUUGUUGCCUCUUUCCACGCUUUGUCCUCGAUGACCGUCUUCUGGAUUUCGAAUUUUGAAUUGGUAAAGCCACACAUGACAUCCAUUGAUAUGUAACCAAAAACGGUGAGGAUCAUUAACUGGUGGUUUUUUCGUAUAUGCUCUGGCGGGUCUUACUUUUUACGCAAUUAUCGUACACCCAUAUUUUCUGGAACGAUAUGUCCAAGGAAACUGUGCUUUGAUAUCUCUGGAGUGCUGAUCAAUUUCAUCUUGGGAUCAUUCUAAACCACUGGAUUUUUUUACGUUUUAAUCUACAAUAGACUCUUUGGACUUGGACAUUUGGCUUAAUUGGAAUCUAGCAACAUCACUUAAAAUUAAUAAAUAUAUUUCUCAUAUAAGAUAUUAUGUAUAUACAAUUUUUCAAUAAAACAGUACUAAACUAAUAA